rnacentral:rRNA from 1 species
UGGGGAAUUUUGGACAAUGGGCGAAAGCCUGAUCCAGCAAUGCCGCGUGUGUGAAGAAGGCCUUCGGGUUGUAAAGCACUUUUGUCCGGAAAGAAAUCCUUGGCUCUAAUACAGUCGGGGGAUGACGGUACCGGAAGAAUAAGCACCGGCUAACUACGUGCCAGCAGCCGCGGUAAUACGUAGGGUGCAAGCGUUAAUCGGAAUUACUGGGCGUAAAGCGUGCGCAGGCGGUUUGCUAAGACCGAUGUGAAAUCCCCGGGCUCAACCUGGGAACUGCAUUGGUGACUGGCAGGCUAGAGUAUGGCAGAGGGGGGUAGAAUUCCACGUGUAGCAGUGAAAUGCGUAGAGAUGUGGAGGAAUACCGAUGGCGAAGGCAGCCCCCUGGGCCAAAUACUGACGCUCAUGCACGAAAGCGUGGGGAGCAGACAGGAUUAGAUACCCUGGUAGUCCACGCCCUAAACGAUGUCAACUAGUUGUUGGGGAUUCAUUUCCUUAGUAACGUAGCUAACGCGUGAAGUUGACCGCCUGGGGAGUACGGUCGCAAG